UCCCUAAUUCCCCUUUCCCAUUCCCCACUCGCGCCGCCCUGGGCUCUCCGCCGCCGCCGCGCCAUUGUGCUGCACCCGCGCGACCCUACUGGACUGCCGCCCCACACCGCCUGCCCCCAUGCGCUCGACCCCUCUCGUCUGCACCGGCGCACUCCCCUGACCACAAGAACUUUGGCGUCGUCACCGUCAUGGCAUGCGGCCGGCAGAUCCCGGGGAGACGGGAUUCAACCUGCGGCAGAGGGCUGUUGCCCUGUACUAGAAGACUGCGCCGGCCGUGGUGAAGUACUCCAUGGAGGCGCUGCUGCUCGUGGUGUCCAACCCCGUUGACGUCCUCGCCGGCCUCGCCUUCAAGAUUUCAGAGUUGGGUUCCAGGCGAGCGGCGUCAUCUGCUCCGGUACCGACCUCGACGCCUCCUGGUUUUGGUUCCUCAUCAACGACCCCCCGCCAUCAACGCACAGGACGUGCAGGAUUCCCAGCCCACCCCAGCAUCCCCUUCAACCCGGAACCAGUUUACUGUUGCGCCUCUGCAACCUUACAGGUCGCCACAGUCUGUGCAACAGCUAGCAGCAGGGCCCAUUGUCGUUGCCGUGCAUCCCAGGUUCAUCUGCUUGCUGCUGUUGCCAUCGCUGAAACCAACCAGGAGUUAGUGGCUUCAAAGCACCAAAGUAUAAUAAUCUUUCUUCUUCAUAGGUUGGUCGGACAAUCUGGUGCUUAUCUGCUGGGAUUUUGAAUUGAAUAUGUGUGGAAUUUCUGGUAGCUAUGUGGAUCUAUUGGCUCCGAAAACUGAUACCCCAGUGUCUACAAUUUGUGGCCAUGUAGGCUCAAGCGUCUCUCCUUCAUCAUGUAAAAUGUCAAACUUGAAAAUCGUCUAGGCAGAAGGGUACAUCCCCAAGAGGCCCAAUUGCAGUAAAAACUUUGGCGAUGCUCAUGACAGGCAGUGACACUCUGUGGUGGUGUCGAGCGUUGGGGUAGGAAAGCAGAACAUCAUCAACUCUGCCUCACCUCUUCCACUCGUGCUGUCUGAUGAUGUUCAAGCUGGAGGAUGUUCUGCAAUGAGAUGUGGAAUGAAGGCUUUGAUGUCAAGUACGAGAAUGAUGCAAGGAUGUUGGUGGAAGGCUGUGAGGAUGGGUAUGUAGUUACCCACUACAAGGAGCCAAGGCAGAUGAUGUGCCUCUUAGAAAAAUUCUAGUAAACACUAGGAAUUUUUGCUCUCAGACAAUGAACCAUAAUGUCUCCUCUAUUUCAUUAGUUACAUAAGUUUACAGGAAACUUGGAUGGUCAUUGGUUCAUAACAUAUGCACUAUUUAUAUGUGAAAAUUAAUGGAUGUGUGUUAUUAUUGUUUGGUUCUGA